AAAUUUGGACAUGUUUAUCAAACGAUGAUAUUGCUUCCCAUAGAAGCGUACAAGGAAGUUUAGUGUAAGCGCAUAGUUGACCCGUGUGAUCGAGACUUGAACUUUUUUGAAAUUGGAUAAGUUUUUUACCAGAUUCAUAUUUAACUACAUCGAAUACAUAGUAUGGUCAGAUUUGGUAAAUUUUAUUUCAUAUAUAUAGUUAGUUUAGAAAGAUGUAUGUUUCGAUAUAUCUUUGGUAAACAUCUUAUAACAGAUUAGCAUAAUAUUGUGAUUCAAAUGACAAAAAUAAACAAAAUGAAAGUUUGAGUGUUAGAUCUUAUCAUUAUAAUGAAAAAUGGCUAUGGUACAAAAUUCAGCGAUUUUCGAAGAUGUUCGGGUCUCGGUCGAUAUGGUCAAAUCGAUCUUUCUUUAUUCAAUACAGACUACAUAUAUAUGUCGUUUGAUGAAUACAUAAAUAAGUCAAAAACAAUUGACCGAAAAGAGGGUUUAGAGGUUUCAUUGGGAGUCGGGCUAGGCUAGUAGUGACUAAUUAGUUUGUGAAGUCAGAUAUCAUUUUUAUGUUGUGUGAUCAAGAUUACAAAGCAUUUAGGUUAGAAAGGUCUUGCGCUGCAUCACUAAGUCUAAAGGCAGUGCUCUCUUUUCAUCACUCUCUCAAAACACGCCAAGUCUUGAAACACACUCUCUCGACCUCGAGCUCUACCCAGCCGUUUCUUUUCAUCACACACAUGCACAAACACACUCUCUAUCUCUCUCUACUCUACCCAGCCGUUCGGACUUGCUACCUCUCUCGAUUAGGUAACCCCCCUCUCUCUCUCAUACUUCGUAUCGUUUUGCUUUUUACGGUUUUAUAGAUUUCGUUAUUCGUUUUGAUUCAUUGGGUUUUAUAGAUUAAGGGUUUGAUUGUGAGUUUAGGGGUUUUGAUUCACCUAUUGGCUUGUUCGUUUUGGUUAUUUAAAAGUGGUUGUUUGCUGACUUACUUCAUAUAUGCUCAAGGAGGAGGAAGAGGAUCUGGAGAUCGGUUGGUGAUCGGUUCAUAUAUGUUCAAGGUUUGGCAUCCGCGUCAGCAACACAUUCGGUAGAUCUCCUACCUCAGUUUUGACUUUGAUUUUGUUUCUGAGUGUGGUAAAUAUUUAGUUGUUUGUGUUUAAAGUUUGAUAGCCUUUUCUUGUGUGAUAAAUUUUAUGAAUCAAGUAAUUGGAAUCUAGAGAUUAGCUGUUUUUUCAUCCCCUGCAUUAAUGCACAGAGUGAGUUGAGUGAAUUGUAAUUUUGCAGAGGGUUGAAGUUGAUGCUUGUUUUUAUGAAUGUGUGUGUUGAUAGGAGCAUAAAAUACGACAUUCUUAAUGUGUUAUUACCUCCAUUUUGUAUUUUGAUUAUCUCUUAUUGUCGUAGAAUAGAGUCAUAAUGUAG
rnacentral:lncRNA from 1 species